rnacentral:rRNA from 1 species
GAACUUAAGCAUAUCAAUAAGCGGAGGAAAAGAAACCAACAGGGAUUGCCUCAGUAACGGCGAGUGAAGCGGCAACAGCUCAAAUUUGAAAUCUGACCCCUUCGGGGCCCGAGUUGUAAUUUGUAGAGGAUGCUUCGGGUGCGGCGCCGGUCUAAGUUCCUUGGAACAGGACGUCAUAGAGGGUGAGAAUCCCGUAUGCGACCGGCGGCCAACCCCGUGUGAAGCCCCUUCGACGAGUCGAGUUGUUUGGGAAUGCAGCUCAAAAUGGGUGGUAAAUUUCAUCUAAAGCUAAAUACCGGCCAGAGACCGAUAGCGCACAAGUAGAGUGAUCGAAAGAUGAAAAGCACUUUGGAAAGAGAGUCAAACAGUACGUGAAAUUGUUGAAAGGGAAGCGCUUGCAACCAGACCUGCCCGCGGGCGAUCAGCCGUUAUUCUUAGCGGUGCACUCGUCCGCGAUCAGGCCAGCAUCGGUUCGGGCGGCCGGAUAAAGGCCUCGGGAAUGUAGCUCCCCCCGGGGAGUCUUAUAGCCUGGGGUGCAAUGCGGCCAGCCCGGACCGAGGACCGCGCUUCGGCUAGGAUGCUGGCGUAAUGGUUGUAAGCGACCCGUCUUGAAACACGGACC